CUACGGGCGGCUCCAGUGGGGAAUAUUGGGCAAUGGGCGCAAGCCUGACCCAGCAACGCCGCGUGAGGGAAGAAGGUUUUCGGAUUGUAAACCUCUGUCCUUGGGGACGAAGAAGUGACGGUACCCAAGGAGGAAGCUCCGGCUAACUACGUGCCAGCAGCCGCGGUAAUACGUAGGGAGCAAGCGUUGUCCGGAAUUACUGGGCGUAAAGGGUGCGUAGGCGGCAUAUUAAGUCAGGUGUGAAAUACUCGGGCUCAACCCGGGGGCUGCAUUUGAAACUGAUAUGCUUGAGUGUGAGAGAGGAAAGUGGAAUUCCUAGUGGAGCGGUGGAAUGCGUAGAUAUUAGGAGGCACACCAGUGGCGAAGGCGACUUUCUGGCUCAUAACUGACGCUGAGGCACGAAAGCGUGGGGAGCAAACAGGAUUAGAUACCCCCGUAGUC
rnacentral:rRNA from 1 species